GAGAAAUGGCUGAGUGGUUAAAAGCGGCAGACUGUAAAUAUGUUGAAAUAAUUUCUACGU
rnacentral:tRNA from 1 species